UACGGAGGGUGCAAGCGUUGUCCGGAUUUAUUGGGUUUAAAGGGUGCGUAGGCGGUUCUUUAAGUCUGGGGUGAAAGCCCGUUGCUCAACAACGGAACUGCCCUGGAAACUGGAGGACUUGAGUACAGACGAGGGUGGCGGAAUGGAUGCUGUAGCGGUGAAAUGCGCAGAUAUCAGGAGGAACACCGGUGGCGAAGGCGGGUCUCUGGGCCGAUACUGACGCUGAGGAGCGAAAGCGUGGGGAGCGAACAGG
rnacentral:rRNA from 1 species